GCUAGGUGACGAGGGGGCGCUUCACUCCGGCGGGAACAUGGCGACGUCUCUGGGGACAACUCCCGGGGGGACGACCCCUACGGGGUUGACUCCAGCGGGAACCACGCCCGAGUCAGAGAAAGGUGCUGAAUUCCAGGAGCAUGAGAAGAUUCUGUCUCCAGAUUUUCUUUCAGUUGCACAAAUCACUGAAAUGCUGGCAGAGGACGUAGAUGGAGUUCAACAGAAACUGCAAAAGUUUUUGAGUUUCAAAAAUCUUCAAACCUGUUUAAAGGAAGCCAGUCUACUAGAUUAUUAUGUAUCUGGAUUUUUGUGGGCUAGAGGAAUGGACUUUUCCAUUAUUCAGCAUUCAAAAUUUAUGACUUUACUAAAUAUGUUACUUCAUAAUCUUAGAACACUGCACAUGUCAUUAGAAGACAGCAUAAAAUGGCUUGGGGAAGUUAUGGCUGAAAUAGGGCCAUCCCGUUCACAAAAAUAUGAGGAAUGGAAUACCUUUGAUGUAAAACAAGCUAAUGCGAUUGUUGAUUACUUAAAAAUCAGCUUGUUUCAGCACUACAAGCUGUAUGAGUUUCUGUUCUACUCUGCCAGGGAAGAAAUCUUGAUAGGAACUGAGCAAGUCAUAGAGGUUGUGAAGCCUCCAGGGCAUCCUUUCCCUGAUCCUCUAGAAGAAGGAAUCGCAUUUGGUAUUUAUUCAGCAUUCAUAGAGCCACCUCCAACAGUGGACACAGAAAUGAAGGGGUUGAAUCCAGAACAGGGCCCGGAAGAGUCCCAGCCAAAAGCCGGUAUUUCAGAGACUGAUCCUUUAGUUGGUUUCACCAUUGAAGAUGUAAAAUCAGCGCUGGGUCAAGUCACAGAUGACGUUUUAAUUGGCCUUCAGUUCCAAGUCUGGAAGACCUGGAGAUCUCGUGCUGAGAUGGUUCUUCCUUGAGCUGUCCUUCCUAAUCGAAAGUGUCGAUGGCCACAGGAGAUCAACAGGAGGGCUCACAAGUCUUAAUGUUGUGAAGGAGUCUUUUUCCAGGAAAACAGGGCACUUUCUAGGUACUGGUAUGAAAUAAACAGAAAAGAUCCUUGACUUCGUGGAGUUCAUGGAACUGACAAGUUUUUAAUCUACGGGCAGAUGAUAAAACGUGAGUAAGCAGGGUGUUCUUAGACAACAAUUAAUGAUGCCAGUAAAGCCUGGGAUAAAAGUUUCUGGGAUGUGGGAGAGCUGCUUUACCUGCAGUGCUCCAAGAACUCUUCUUGGAAUAAGUGACUUUUGAGCUAGGAACCAGUCAUGGGCCACAUGCUUGGGACUUUUGUUUCAGGCAAUGAGGAUGGAUACCCAGUAAAGUGACUUCACCCAGUAGAACUUUGAAGCAUUCAAAGCAGCUCUCAGGGGAGAGGGGUGUACCCAAGGUCUCACCCCUGGGACUUAACAAGGUUGGUUUGCAACUUCAGGCCCUCAUAUUCCUAAUCCCGUGCUUUUUCUACUCCAUCACAUUGGCACAAUCACAUGGUCCUGUUUUUUACUAUGCAAAAUUAUAGCUGUAAAAUGCCUGUCAGGAUAAUCUCCAAGCCCAAAUAAGCCCACCUUCUUAAAAGAAUCUUGGUCCAAAUCUCCCUGGCAGAAGAAUUCCAAAUAAAUCACAUAGAUACUCCACUCCAGAAGAGGAGGAACGCAAUUCCCACUCAACAUGGGCUGUGCGUAGUGACUUCUUUCCAAAGAAUACAGUAUGGAAAGGUGGGGGGAAGGAGUAGCUCUAUGCAAAUUUAAGAAACCUGACAGAGACUACUUCUGACAGAUGAUGGAGGUCAGCAUCAGUACUUACAAGGCAUGUUGACGGCAUAUACACGUGAUAUGAGAUGGUGAAAUUUACCUCUGCAGCCUUCCUCUCAGAAAAUCCUCAUCUCAAUCUAAUGAGAAAAGCAUCAGGUAAAUUCCAAUAGAGGAGCAUUCCACAAUAUUCCAGGUCAGAUUCCUCAAAACUGUCAAGGUCACCAAAAAUAAGGGAAGUGUGAGAAAAUGUCACAGCCAAGAGGAGCUUCAGGAGCCAAGACAACUCAUGUUGGAGUUCAGGAUGUAAUUUUGGAACAGAAAAAGGGAAGCUAAAGAAAUAUGAAUAAACUCUGAACUUCAGUUAGUAAAAUGUAUCAAUAUUGGCUUGUUAAUUGUACAAAAUGUACUCUACAAAUGUAAGAAUAGUGGUAAUAGUAAUAAUUAGUAAUAAUAAGGGAAAGGAGAAUAGUGUAGGGCAACUCUGCACUAUCUCCUCAAUUUUUCUGUAAAUCUAAAACCAUUCUAAAAAUAGUCUGUGAAUUUUAAAGAAUCAUGGUCAAAAAAACCAAAAUUAAUUAAAAGAAAAGAUAACUACCAUCAGAUUUCACCAUUGAUGGAAUGACAUCCCCUUCUAAAGAACAUACAAUAAUCAGAUAUAGCCAUUUUGCAAACUAAAGGGGAAAAUGAAUGCUCAUAAAGAAGGAUAAAGUGGUUUAUCCCAUUUUAAAGAGGAAAUUGCAAAGCAAAGGUAACAGCAAGUACAAAAUCCCUGUGAGAAGAGAACAUGGAAAGUAGAGGAUGUGAAAGGGGGCUGGAACCUCGAAAGUGAGAAGGGGCAUUUUCCAAAAUCAAAAAAGAAUAAGUAAAUGGAUAUUAGACUAUGCAGAGCCUAUAUGUUGGGAUAAAGUGUCUUGUGUUUGUCCCGAAUACAGUAAGUUACUGAAAGGUUUGAGUCAGAGACUUGGAGGGGGCUGGCGAAGAACGAGCACAUUUGAGCUAUGCAAAGAGGAUUCUAAUUACAAUGGGGAAAAAGGAGUAGAGACCGGGGAGGACAAGGUCCCAGUACUCUUCCUGUGACACCACGUACGUGUCAGAAGCUUCCAGAAGAAUCCAUUCUCUCAUUCUUCCUACGCACAUGGCUGGACUCCAUUUUCCAGAUCCCUUUGCAGGGAAGUGUGACCAUGUGACUAAGUUCAAGCCAAUGGAAUGUGAGCACAAGUGAAAUGUGCUUCACAAAGGGUACUACUCAAGACCAGACAACGCCUGUUCCAUGCCUUCUCCUCCUCACUGCUGGCUGGAUGGCAGUGAGGAGAGCAAUAAUUCCAAGGUAACAGAGCAGCUUCUGCCUGGGUUCCUGAAGGACACAUGACAGGAGACAUUUACCAACCCAGAUGACAUAUCCAGACUGUCUUAGGAGGAAGAAGUAAACUUCCAUUUCUGAGUGUGACUUCAGCCCUGGGUCUGCCUGUCACAGCAAUUUAGCCUGCCGUAAUUAACUCAAUGAUUCUCUCUCUGUGUCCGUGCACACAUAGUAUGUCUCAUAGGGGUCAGUGUCUGUUGUAAACUGGGAAAACAACUAGCAAAUUCAUUAACUAGGGACUUGCGUAUAGUUUCAUUGCAUAAAGUAAUUACCUCUUAGUUUAUAUAAGCCCACAGUCCCUCCUAAACUGACAUUCUAUGAAAUAAUUGACUGAACCUCUCAAGUGUGAUGAACUGCACACUCAGGAAAUCUCCCACGAGAGGCCACACCUUAAAUACUUUCUACUCUAAGUGAGGCUAGUAAUUUUUUAAAAUGUCUAUGGAUGGCUUGGGAUUUCUCUAAUAUAAUAAGAAAAGUAUAAACAAGAUUCUAGGUUAUUAAUUUGCUAAUAGUUUUUCCCUUAGGCCAGGGUUAUUUCCUCAGCUGAAAUACUCCUUCAUUCACUAAAAAUGAUUUACUAACUGCCUACUCUAGAACCUGACUAAGGCACUUACUAGAGCAAAUAUUGAUAUGUUGGCUACUUGAUAUUGAAUAUGUCCAAUUCUAAAGACUAAUACGUGUUUCAGAAGCAUUAUUCUGAUUUGACUAGUAGACAGUCCAUAGGUUCCAGUAAACAGCACAGUCAGAUCAUAGAUAGGGUUGGAAAUAGAAACAGAACUUAGUUUUCCCUCCCUCAAACAUGCUCAGUCACCAGUUGUUUACUUGCUAUUGGUGACCACCUGAAUCAGAAUGCUUCUGGCUACAAGUAAAUAAAAUCCUAAACUCAAAAUGGCUUAAAAAAUUACAAAAAUACCCUACGUAAUCUAACAAAAAAGAAGUUCAGAGGUAAGGAGCCCUGAUGGCACCACUGAGGACCCAGAUUAUUUCUGUCUGUGGCAUCCUCUUCAGCACCUUGGCUUUUGUCCUCAAGAAUUGUCCCCUCAUAAUCCCGAGAUGACAACUACAUCCUCACAAAAGGAUCAAACACUCAAAGAAAAGGAGUACUUUCUUCUCUCAUAUUUCUUUUGAAGAGCAAGAAAAAAACUUCUCCAAAGCUUGCCUGGAGAGUUUGUCCUGUGUCCUUUUGGCCAGAAUUGUAUCACAUGAUCAGUCCUGAACCAGAUACUGGUAAAGGAAAUAGAAGUGUCAUGACUGACUUAGGUGAAUCAGGCUUCACCCGCUGGGGUGGGGGAUUGGCCCCACCAAUCACCACAACAAAGUUGGGGUUCUCUUUAAGAGGAAAAAAGCAUAGAAUGGCUGUUGGGCAAGUGACUGCCAUUUCUACUCCACCAAUUGAUCCUCCAUAAUAUUUUAUAUCUUAAAAUGUCCUAGCAUUUCCAGCAUUCUUUAGUUCAAAAUUUUGAUGGAUAGAUGAUAGAUAGAUAGAUAAAUCAAAGAGAGAUCUUUUCUUCGUUUGCAAAGAUGAUGGUACUGAUUAUUACCUCUAUGUGCGGGUGCUGUUUUUUAAAUGUUUGCCAUAGAAGAAGCUACUGCAUUCCAACAUGUCUAUGAAAAAUAGCUAGAAAUUUUUGAAACCAAACAUAUUCAGUUCUUAAGGUGCUAGACUCAGAUUGAAUUAUUAGCACCAUUUCCUUUCUGCUGACAUUUUGAUGACAUGGUCAUCAUUCAUUCAACCAAGUGUGGCCAUUUUAGAUUCAGUGAAGUGUUUUUAUUCACGGUGUCCUCACAGGCUCCUUUAUUUGUUAAAACUACUUCAAAAUAGAUAGGCUGAUGAAUCACCAGAACACUGCAAAGCAAAACUUAAGGGCCAGGACUAAACUGAGGAAAUAAACAAAAAGAUGAGGUAAUUACAGACUUGGGAAAUUCAUGAUAUAGUAUUAGAGGAAAACAUCUGUCAUUAAAUAUGAUACGUGUUUUGUGGGAGAAAAUGAUACACAAAUAAAAAGCAUUCAAGUAUAAUGGGAAUUCUCUGUUGAUGGUGAGGUUGCAGGUGAUUUUUAAAUUCUUUUCUGUAUCUUCCAUAUUUCAUUAACUUUUUUUUACCAGUGAGAAAUGAACAUGGCUUCUGAUAGGUUGAUGCAACACCCUAGCCUGGUUUUUUUUGCCAGCUUCUGGCCAAUCCACCAGAAGCUUGGGCAUUUUCACUGUUCUCUCUGGAGCCAGUAUGGAGUCUUUUCAGCAGCAACCAUGAGAAAGCAGCAGGUGCUCUUCAGACCCAGGGAAGCACAAAAUGCUUCCCAGAAACAGCCCCUGUUCUGAAAAAGCUCCCAGUCUAAGUUGGAUACAAUGGCAGGUGCAUAGCUUUGGGUAGACACAUUGCCCUCAUGUGCUAAGAUGACUUCUAGAAGCCAGAUUCCACAGAGGAUUCUGCCACAAUGAACUGCGGGACGCUGGGCAUGCUGCAUUGCCCCCUGAGCCUUGGGUUUAUUGUUAUAAAAUAGAUGGAUUGUCAAUAGGUUAAAAAAAAAAAGAAAGUCAAUGUUGAGAAGUCUUUUCUUAAAACUCCAGAGACACUCUGACUUUAAAAAACUAGAAACUAGCCUUAGAAGGCGACGGUUAAAGAAUAUCUCAAAUUGGCUUAAAUUGAAACACCAGAUGUAUUCCCAUUAAAGCUGAAAAUGAGAUAAGGGUUGGAAUUAAUGAAUUAAUCGUAUAAGUACCUGUUUAAUGUCUGUCUCCCAGCCCAGGCAAUAGCUCUAGGAGGGCAGGGUCUGUCUCUGUCUUGUUCCAUGCUCUGUCUCCAAGGUCUAGCACAGCACCUGGCACAGGGUAAGUACAUCACAAAUGUUUUGUAGAUGGAAGAGGAGGAGGCAGACACACCCACAGGCUGGCUGUUUUCACCACUGGUGUUUCACUUUUCCUACCCCUAAAAUGAGACAACAUAAGGAAAUUAAAAGUGUAGUUAACACAAAGCUAAAAUCAUUAUUUAUAGAUCAUGAGAUUAUUACAUGGAAAACCCAUGAGAAAAUCUAUUCUAGAAAAUAUUUAAGAAGUCAGAUAAAAAAUAAAGACUAAAAAAUAGAUUUUUCUAUGAAUUAAUAACGAUUAGAAAAUAUGCCGGGAAAAAAAAUCUUUUACAAUAGUAAAAAACAUACAAAAUACUUAAAAUGAAAAUAAGAAAAAGUAAAGAAUUUGUGUGAAUAAAAAUAUAAAAAUGUCCUAAAGGGCAUUUUGCUAGAUGCAAAGUUUAAAUAUUGUAAAGAUACAAUUUGAAGUGUAAUUCCAUUGAAAAUCUCACAAUUUGUAUUAGUCUGAGGUCAACAUGAAUAGUGAAAAAGUAAUAAGAGGUAAAAAGGCUUUCUGAUUUAAAACACAGAGCUAAAAUACCUAAAAGUAUGUGUUAGAGCAAAAGUAACAGCCAAAUUAGUGAAACAGAACAGAAAACAACAUAAUAUUGAGAAUUUGUUUUAUGAUGAAAUUUACUUGGGUGGCUGAGUCUAUGAAUUUGGAAUCACUUAAUCCUGAAAUCCUCUCUCAGAUCUGCCUUUUGUAGUUAAGCAUUAUAAGCUAUCAAGCCUCCGUUCACUCAUCUGUAAAAUAGGAAUAAAAAUAUCUAUACUAGAAUGUAAUUGUAAGGAUCAAAUGAAAUGUGUAUUCAUUAAAAUAUUAAAUUCACUAAAAAUAUUUAGCACAGUAUCUCAGUAUACAAUAAAGGGUAUUUUUAUGAUAUACUUGAUAAACCAGUGGGAAAGUAAUCUACAAGAAAUGAUGCUGGGAAAAUUAUUGGCAAAAAAAUGUAUGUUUUAUGUUUAUGUUUUAUAUGUUACAUUUUACAGAGUAUACCAACAAGUUAAAGCAUUGAAUUAAAACUACAAAAUAGCUAGAAGAAAGUAUGAGUGACUCUUUUCCUGGUCUUGUGAUGGAGAGGGCUUUAACAAAUUAAUGAAACAACAUCACAAAGAACAGGCAAAAAGAAUAUUGAACUGUUCGUGUAGAAGAAAAUUUACCAUAAAUAAAAAGAAAAAAAACUGAGAAAAAUAUUUACAAAAAUUGUGUGACAGUUAGUUAAUAACUUUAGUAUAUAAACAGCUCUUUAAUAUCAAUACAAGAAAAUGCUAACAACUCAAUAGGAAGUUGCAAGUGAUCUGAACAAAUAAUUCACAAAUUAUAAAAAAGAAGUACAAAUUGUCAGCGAUAAUGACAAAGUUUUUAACUUUAUCAAUUCUGGCAUUUCUGAAUGCUGUGUAUUUUUUGGGUAUUUGAAGCCAGAGAAAUCAAGAAUGGGAAACGCAGGAUUGAGAUUAUUGUGUACAUGACUUUGUCAGGAAAUGCCUAAAACUGAAUCAAAUAUGUGAAGAUGCAUCAUGCAGCUCCCAUUUAACACCUAUGUGUUCAGGAGUACUUUAAAUUUUUAGGUAUCAGAAUUCAUUUUUGGUAAAUGGCAAGCAAUAUGCCCUCACUGUCUCUGCCACCCCAUGUUUUUCUCUAGUUUUGUAACAUGGUACAUGUGGCUUUCACACCUGACAAUAUCCAUGUCAUACAUGUUGAUCUGGGUGAGCAUGAACUAAGCAGAUGAUAAAAGAUCCCUGAAUGAAAUAGAGAUCUAGUUCUGGGUCUUCUAUCUCACCACCAGCUGCAGUCCAGGCCCUAAGUGAGGCAUAUCACUUCUCCAAAUGCAAGAGUUUCUCCCAAUUUGGUCUAUAAUUCCUGGACCCCACUCUAACCCUUCAGAAUCAGAAGGCAGGUCUUGGAAAUUGGCACUUUUAACAAGUACCCUAAUUAAUGCUUAGGUGCUUUAAAGUUUGAAAAAUACUGUGCUGGUGGACCACCAAGCGCUUCUGAUGUUAAAAAUCAAGUAUUCUGAAGGAAAAAUACGCAUGCUGAAUAGCAGCUCCACUCUGUACAUCUGAGAAUGGCUGCCCACCUCAACUCACAAAUUUGGAUUCUCAGAUCCUUGUUAUAUUUGAGUUGAUAUCUUUUUAGGUUUUGUUCUUCCAAUCUCACGCAUCCAAUUACACUUGUAGCUGCCAGUCUUUGAAAGUGCUUUCAGAAGGCACAUAAAUUCAACCCUGAGUCCUUAUGAUUCAGACAUUUAAUCACACCAUAAAGUUAAUGGAACCCAAUUUGAAUGUAGACACCUCAACAGCCACAUUGCAUUGAAUUCAGAGCAUUCAUAAAAUGUGGGUCUCAAAAUGAAUCACCAGCCUAACGGAAAGUUCAGAGAAGAAUGCCUCCCUCUCAUUGGUCACUGUCCUAAUCUUCAGCUGCCAGGAAAAAGACCGGAGCUGUCAACACAACACUGUAGCCCAGGCAACCAGCCAUGCUGCUAGGAACUUUUCAACACUUAGAAAAAAAAGUUACUAUAGAAACUUUCAGAUGCUCUUUAGAUUGUUUGGACCCUCUGUGGUUUAUAGCAGUAAUGACGCCUUGGGGUCAGACGUUGCCUAUCAACCUAGGACCUCUGCUCAUUCACAGCCCAGAAAUGAGUUGCUUUUGGGGUGCUCCAGAUUUUGCCUGAGCACUAUAAAUUGUGUUCUUCCAGUGCUGCAUGGUCUCUGGGGAAAAAGGAAAUAUAUACUGUGUUUCCAAGACCCCAGUAAUCCAUUACUUAAACAACAGAAAAAUAAUAAUGGCGGUGGCCAUCCAAACAUCCAGAUGUGGUCGCAGCGAUGUUUGGCUUCCACUGGGUGAAGACAUCUGGGUGAUUGAUUCUGAGCUUUCCAUCCAGAUGUUCAACCACAGUGGCAAGUCCACUUCAAACUGAAGCUGGGAGGGGUGUGCAUUUAUCGAGGAGGUACCCAUUUGAGCUCCUUUUAUUGGAAAUGUCUUUUCCCCUUAGUUUUUUUUUUCCAUCUUGGGUAGGAUGGUUUUGUAUGAAAGAACCUUAGGAUCCACAGAACUGCUUAGAUCAAACUUCUCAACUAUGCUUUCUGUUCAAGUUUCCAUAGCCAGUGCUAAGUGGAAGGAAGACCCAAUCCUUUCUUAUAUUUUUAGACAGCUGCUGGAAUUCACUCCAUUCUUAAAAAGUUAUUUACCUGAAGUAGGAACUUUGCACGUAAGGGAAGGAGGCAGGGCUCUCAAAAUGGCUUGUGUACUUUUUGAGUCUAGUGUGCUGAACUACAAAUUUAAUCCACUGAAGUGGUUUCAUGCAAACGCUCCUCUCAAAUUCCUUUUGUACAAAAUCUUGAUGAAUAAUGUAUAGAGUCUGAAAAUGGAUUAAGCUACAUUUGGAGAUGGUUUGAGUUGAGUUUUUUUUAAAGCAGGCAAAAACGAGCAGGUUUUUCUGUUGUAGCCUUUUUUAACCCUUCUUGCUCAAGCAAUCACAUUGAAUCGUAUCUUCUCAAAGCUGCCUUCCACACAAUGUUUCUUGUCUUUUUUUUUCUGUCAAAAAGCUUGAAAUGUAAAACGUUUUAAUUAGAAAUGUGAAGAGUGAAUUGGACUCAGUUCCCUCAGAUUUCCUGACUAAAGCAAGCAAAUAGAAUAGUAAAACCUUUUGAUUUACUCCUGGCGGAUAAUUCAGCAACCAAAUAAGCAGAUGAGUGAAAUCUUGCUGAAUAAAAUGUUUCCUGGUACGCCACGAUCUUAAUUACCCUGAGGACUGUGGCCAUAGAUAGAAUGCCAAUCUGUAUGUCAUGGGGAGCAGAUGUAGUAAAUGCUCAGAGACAUAUUUCUUCCAGAGCCAAUCAAGGCCAGAAAGAGGAAAAAGGAGAUGGCCAGGGGGGUUGCCAGAGUCUCCAAAGGCAUCACAGAGACUUGGCUGCCAUCGCAGGUUUCAGUGGGUCAGUCGUUUCUAAUGAAAUAAUGCUGUACUUCAUGAUUGCUUAUUUUUACAUAUCAUUUGAAUACUAUGUAAAUUGUCCUGGAAGGAGAAUUGCAGCUCAAAUGAGGAGAUCUGGGCUCAAGUCCUAAGUCUGACCCUGCACAGUCAUGUGACAUUAAACUUACUUGCUCUCCCUGGUUUCAGUUUCAUCAUCUGUCAAGUGAGGAGAGCCGUCCUCCCUCCAGCUUCCCAUCUGCGUGCGGGGCCCUGGGGAGGAACAAGUGAGAUAAGUGGGGAGGUACUUCUCAGGCUUUGGGGGUGCUGCUGAAUUCCUUGCUUUGGAUGAACUCCUGUUUUCUCCUCAGACAGUGGUGGCAUCAUUGACUCUUCACCCACAUCCUUCUUCAUCCAGGGGUCCCCCAAGCCAAGGGCAAAGUGAACAGGCUGCUCUGAGAGGAGACUUCCAGCUGCUGCACAGCUGACCACUUCCAGUGGGCUCCACGUCUGCCACCCCAACAAGAGCUUUUAAGCUGACAAGGCCUUACCCCGACACUUAAAAACAUGGCUUCAGAUAAAUACAGAAUGACAUCCUCCAGCCCAGCAUGUCUCAUGGCCUCCAUUCUGAACCCUCGUCUUGACCCACCUUGUUCCUGACCUUGUGACUAGCAUUUUUGCUGCUGUUUGCCUCACCUCUCCAGAUAGUUCCAGUGAUCUGGUUUGGGCCUUUGGAUUCUCUUCUCCAUCAAGAGUUAAUUGAUUCACUUUUAACCACAUUCCCUUUACCCACUCCACCUUGGUCCCAGGACCUUACACCCUAGCCCUGUGAAUGGGACACAGACAAAGAGAAGAUUUUAUAUGCAGCGUAGGAGCUGAGAUGCACCUCCCCAAACAGGCAGCAUAAGGAUUUCUGCCAGCACUGGGGACAUUUUCUCUUUUGGUGCUGCAGACUUAGAACAAGUGGGCAAUUUCAAAUUCUAUGGGACAGGUAUCUUGGGAGAAGGCAAUGAGAGGAAAAGAGGUAGCUUCCCCCCACUCACCUCACCUUCCUACGUUAAAUGUUAGCACACAGCAGCGUAUGUCAACACACAAGGGAACCAUGUCCUGUUUGUGCUUCUCCGUUUGACCUUGAUUCACUGAAUGGAGUGUUGAAUGAGAAAAGAAGACUGACUCAAAUUCAAAUUCAAAUUCAAAUGCAUUCCUCCCGGUUUCACAAUAAUAUAGACUUUACCAAGCUUUAAAAAAAAAAAAAAAAUUCAACAAUGUAGUGAGGGCAAGACCUUGCCAGUUUUGUUCAUUGGAAUAUUCUAGAACUUAGCACACAGAAGUUGCUUAAAAAAUACUUGUUACCUGAACAAAUCCAUGGGAAGAGAAAAAAAUGAUAUCUGAAAGAUUUCUUAUUAUCUGAUGCUGAUAGAGAGUAAAGUUAAUGAUUUAGAGAACAAGUAUCCAGCAGUAGAGCUUGCUAAUACCUUUUAAAAUGUGUUGAUGCUCAUAAAUCCAAAAUAAACGACCUGUAAAAUCACUUAAGAAGAAAUAAUACGCAUUUAAUCAGGCUUCCAGAGGAAAGUCUGAGGGAAAAGCCGAGAAUUUCAAGGAGAAUUAUUAAAUCCCUUCAAAUUCAAGCGCUGGCUGAUCACAGACAGGCCACAUGUCCCUCUGCCCUCAGGGCUGUCACUUUAGGAGGUCUCGCUCAGCCCUUCGUUAUGAAAGUCCUAAAUGACAGCCACCUCCUGGAGCCAGUGGGAAAGGCUUUGGAUCAGCUAAAAAGGGUAAAUCCCCAUACAGGUCUACCCAGCACGCUUUGCCACAUUCCACGGAGGGAUCUUAAAUAAAGGGGGAGAAAUUGGACACGUCACCCAUGUCCUAAAGCACACCAUCUUCAAAGUCUUACUCAGGGCUUUCACUUCAAGUCAAAGGGCUCUUCCUCUGGCCAAUAAAAUUCAGAACACUCUGAACUGCUGGCCUGUGCCUCUGCUUUAUAAUCCUGUUGAAGUCUGGGGACCCUAACCGUGUUCUGGUACCUUCCAUUCCGUCCUGGAUUUUACCUCUUAGUCGGCUAAUGAGAGUGACUUUACCUUUCCUGGGGUUUGAUUGAGGUCCUGAGGGUGGUAGUAAAAUGGAUUCAUCUUUUUGUUACAAACUCAAUUAGCAGAAGUUGGAAUUGCUCUCUUCUACAAACUUAAAUAAAUUGUUAAUGAGAAAUUUACCUUCA